GUUGGAGCAAUGCCAGAAAAACAAGAAUUAAAUUGAGCUGGGACACAAACAUCCUGUUAGUAUUGUUCUUUGGCAAGCUUCGUCUUCCGUGUUCCACAAGCCUGUUUUCAUUUCAAUUUCUGGUAAAAUCAGAGACAGGGUAUUUGAGCACAUUGCCACGAAGUCGUCAAACAGUUUGUGGUUGAAGAACUGGAAGCCGCUUCUGUCGCUGAGGUCGUCUCUGGGUAUUAACAGUCCACCAUGAGAGCUUUCACCUUCUGCCUGCACUGUGUGUGCUUGUUCCUGUGCUGGAGGGACAGCGAGGUAUCCUAAGGCUCCCGUGCUCCCUCCAAACCCUCGCCCGCCCCUUCCAAAGCCUCCAAUUUUAAAUGUCCCCAGUAAUGGUGGCAAUCUGC